UCGAACUAGUCUUUCAGACUCUGCAAAUCGUUGGCAUUGUGGCAAAUGUACCUGGAAGGUGCGGACAUUUGUCAAAGGCAGAGUCGACAUCGAACCAACCUCCGGCAACCUGCGGCGUGGCAAGAGAAUCUUCGGACUCGAACUCGGACCCAAAUUCUGCUAGGUAUGUACAUACAUAUAUGUAUGUACGUGUGUAUGCAGGGCAACACAGCGGGAACUGAAACGAACCUCGAAAAUGCGCUUGCUGUGCGCUCCUCUACGAUCUCAUUAUGUGUUUUCCCUUUUGUAAUUUAACGUCUUAUUCAAGUCAUUCCAAGAUCUUUUUACUCUAUGAAAAACACCAGACCCAGCUCCGUGCUGCCUGCCUGUUGCCUGCCUGUUGCCUGCCUGCCUGCCUGUGAUUAUGAAUACAAAGCAUUCACAUUCACACUCACACUUGUGCGCAUUCGUCUUAUUUAACGAGGGAACUUCGUCGUUUCUCGGAAACAACAUAAAACCAGAUAUGUGUAUACGUAAGUUUUUUGGUUUUGCAUCUGCAUUUGAGUCCCCGCACAGCAUCAUCCGGCGACAGUCCAAGACGAUGUAACAUGCAGGAACACGUCGCGAUCUAGAGAGCUUCGACAACUCCUUUGACGGCUCCUGCGCUUAAAUACAUACAUACAUAUGUACAUCAAAAAUAAUUUAGCAGCCUUUCCUUGAAAAUAUACUGACAAUCGAAGGAGUCCGAAUGACUUUAUUUUCAAUACGACUUCUCGAGCAUGGGUCUGGGCCGAUGUUAAGGGCUUAAUUAGUCAGCAAAUCGAAGCCCCAAACGAAGUAGUCAACGGAGUCUGAUGCGUCGUACUCUCGCUCUCAAAUCCAGUUUUAGUUGUUUUUUUUAUUACAUACCUAAAUACUUCAUUUC
rnacentral:sRNA from 1 species